ACUCAAAUGAAUAGACGGGGGCCCGCACAAGCGGUGGAACAUGUGGUUUAAUUCGAUGCAACGCGAAGAACCUUACCUGGGCUUGACAUCUAGGGAAUCUCGUGGAAACACGGGAGUGCCGUAAGGAACCCUAAGACAGGUGGUGCACGGUUGUCGUCAGCUCGUGUCGUGAGAUGUUGGGUUAAGUCCCGCAACGAGCGCAACCCUCGUUGCCUGUUGCUACAGAGCGCAAGCUGCUGAGCACUCAGGCGAGACUGCCGGUGACAAACCGGAGGAAGGUGGGGAUGACGUCAAAUCAUCACGCCCCUUAUGUCCAGGGCUACACACGUGUUACAAUGGGAAGAGGACAAUGGGUCGCUUGGUAGCAAUGCCCGGCAAAUCUCAAAACCUCCCCUCAGUUCGGAUCGGAGUCUGCAACUCGACUCCGUGAAGUCGGAAUCGCUAGUAAACGCAGAUCAGCACGCUGCGUUGAAUACGUUCCCGGGCCUUGUACACACCGCCCGU
rnacentral:rRNA from 1 species